UACGGGGGGGGGCAGGCGUUGUUCGGAAUUACUGGGCGUAAAGGGCUCGUAGGCGGCCAACUAAGUCAGACGUGAAAUCCCUCGGCUUAACCGGGGAACUGCGUCUGAUACUGGAUGGCUUGAGGUUGGGAGAGGGAUGCGGAAUUCCAGGUGUAGCGGUGAAAUGCGUAGAUAUCUGGAGGAACACCGGUGGCGAAGGCGGCAUCCUGGACCAAUUCUGACGCUGAGGAGCGAAAGCCAGGGGAGCAAACGGG
rnacentral:rRNA from 1 species